CCCCUUGUGGCGUAAUGGUUAGCGCAGCGGUCUGUGAAGCCGUCCAUCACGGUUCGACUCCGUGCAGGGGGAC
rnacentral:tRNA from 1 species